GUUGUUAAAAAUCUACACUACAGCUGUAUAUGUGUGGUGUACGUAUGAAAGAAUGCGCUUUCUUAUUUUUUGCGUACACAUGCGUCUGAUACAUGUUCGGCUGUUGGUCAUACGGUACUCGCCGGCAUGGAUUGAUGAUCGUGAUUCCCGUUUUAGCAAAGAUUGAACAGUUAGCAACAUGUAAUGAAUACGUAUGCAUACGUGUCGUAUUAUUAUACGAAAUGUAAUGUGUAAGAAUGUGCCUAUAUAUGUUAGUAAUGUGCCAUGACUACCGUUAUCGAUGAUCGAUCGAUCGAUCGAUGUUGCGAUUUUUACUGGGUAUCAAUGGAAAUCGUCUUCGUCGUGAUUGUUGUCAUCGAUGAAAAUGGAUGAAUACUAUGCAUAUAGCGAGUAGAGCACGUAAUGAUUUCUUUACAUAUUAUAUUUUAUUGUAAUUCUACAAAUGCAACCUGAACUCAGACGUGAUUACCCGCUGAACUUAAGCAUAUCAUUUAGCGGAGG
rnacentral:rRNA from 1 species